rnacentral:rRNA from 1 species
UACGGAGGGUGCGAGCGUUGUCCGGAAUCACUGGGCGUAAAGGGCGCGUAGGCGGCCGUGUAAGUCACUUGUGAAAUCCCGGGGCUCAACUCCGGGGCUGCAGGUGAGACUGCAUGGCUAGAGCUUGGUAGAGGCGAGUGGAAUUCCCGGUGUAGCGGUGGAAUGCGUAGAUAUCGGGAGGAACACCUGUGGCGAAAGCGGCGCACUGGACCAUAACUGACGCUGAGGCGCGAAAGCUAGGGGAGCAAACAGG